GAUGAACGCUGGCGGCGUGCCUAAUACAUGCAAGUCGAGCGAACGGACGAGAAGCUUGCUUUUCUGAUGUUAGCGGCGGACGGGUGAGUAACACGUGGAUAACCUACCUAUAAGACUGGGAUAACUUCGGGAAACCGGAGCUAAUACCGGAUAAUAUUUUGAACCGCAUGGUUCAAAAGUGAAAGACGGUCUUGCUGUCACUUAUAGAUGGAUCCGCGCUGCAUUAGCUAGUUGGUAAGGUAACGGCUUACCAAGGCAACGAUGCAUAGCCGACCUGAGAGGGUGAUCGCCCACACUGGAACUGGAACAGGGUCCAGACUCCUACGGGAGGCAGCAGUAGGGAAUCUUCCGCAAUGGGCGAAAGCCUGCCGGAGCAACGCCGCGUGAGUGAUGAAGGUCUUCGGAUCGUAAAACUCUGUUAUUAGGGAAGAACAUAUGUGUAAGUAACUGUGCACAUCUUGACGGUACCUAAUCAGAAAGCCACGGCUAACUACGUG
rnacentral:rRNA from 1 species